GCUGGGUGUUGUGGCGCGCGCCUGUAAUCCCAGCUACUCAGGAGGCUGAGGCAGGAGAAUCACUUGAACCCAGAAGGUGGAGGUUGCAGUGAGCUGAGAUCACGCCACUGCACUCCAGUCUGGGUGACAGAGUGAGACUCUGUCUCAA
rnacentral:sRNA from 1 species